GAUCAUGGCUCAGGAUGAACGCUGGCGGCGUGCUUAACACAUGCAAGUCGAACGGAACUACUUUAAUGAGAUUCUUCGGAAAGGAUUUGAUUUAGUUUAGUGGCGGACGGGUGAGUAACGCGUGGGUAACCUGCCUCAUACAGGGGGAUAACAGUUGGAAACGGCUGUUAAUACCGUAUAAGCGCACAGUACCGCAUGGUACAGUGUGAAAAACUCUGGUGGUAUGAGAUGGACCCGCGUUGGAUUAG
rnacentral:rRNA from 1 species